rnacentral:tRNA from 1 species
GCAGUGGUGGUUCAGUGGUAAAAUCCUUCCCUUCCAUGCAUAAGACCUGGGUCUGAUUCCCAGCCAGUGCA